GUGCUUGCUUCCGCAGCACAUAUACUAAAAUUGGACCGAUAGAGAGAUUAGCAUGGCCCUUGCGCAGAAGUUAGAGAAUGAGGAAGACAUGGUGUGCAUACGA
rnacentral:snRNA from 1 species